AGAGUUUGAUCCUGGCUCAGAGUGAACGCUGGCGGCAGGCCUAAUACAUGCAAGUCGAACGGCAGCACAGCAGAGCUUGCUCUGUGGGUGGCGAGUGGCGGACGGGUGAGGAAUACAUGGGAAUCUGCCCAGUCGUGGGGGAUAACGUAGGGAAACUUACGCUAAUACCGCAUGCGCCCUUCGGGGGAAAGCCGGGGACCUUCGGGCCUGGCGCGAUUGGAUGAGCCCAUGUCGGAUUAGCUAGUUGGCGGGGUAAUGGCCCACCAAGGCGACGAUCCGUAGCUGGGUCUGAGAGGAUGAUCAGCCACACUGGAACUGAGACACGGUCCAGACUCCUACGGGAGGCAGCAGUAGGGAAUAUUGGACAAUGGGCGCAAGCCUGAUCCAGCCAUGCCGCGUGAGUGAAGAAGGCCCUCGGGUUGUAAAGCUCUUUUGUCCGGAAAGAAAGCGCCGGGUUAAUACCCUGGUGUCCUGACGGUACCGGAAGAAUAAGCACCGGCUAACUUCGUG
rnacentral:rRNA from 1 species